AAAUUCUUAGGUUAUAAUAGACCGUAAGCCUUCAAAGCUUGAAGAGAAAAGGAUUUUUCAGAAUUU
rnacentral:tRNA from 1 species